UACGUAGGGGGCGAGCGUUAUCCGGAAUCAUUGGGCGUAAAGCGCGUGUAGGCGGUUCCGUAAGUCCGCUCUGAAAGCCCAGGGCUCAACCCUGGGAGGCGGGUGGAUACUACGGAACUGGAGUACGGAAGAGGAGAUUGGAAUUCCUGGUGUAGCGGUGAAAUGCGCAGAUAUCAGGAGGAACACCGGUGGCGAAGGCGGGUCUCUGGGCCGAAACUGACGCUGAGGAGCGAAAAGCGUGGGGAGCAAACAGG
rnacentral:rRNA from 1 species